rnacentral:rRNA from 1 species
UACGUAGGGUGCGAGCGUUAAUCGGAAUUACUGGGCGUAAAGCGUGCGCAGGCGGUUUUGUAAGCCAGAUGUGAAAUCCCCAGGCUUAACCUGGGAAUGGCAUUUGGGACUGCAAGGCUUGAGUGCGGCAGAGGAGACUGGAAUUCCUGGUGUAGCAGUGAAAUGCGUAGAUAUCAGGAGGAACACCGAUGGCGAAGGCAGGUCUCUGGGCUGACACUGACGCUCAUGCACGAAAGCGUGGGGAGCAAACAGG